rnacentral:rRNA from 1 species
AUACGGAGGGUGCAAGCGUUAUUCGGAAUCACUGGGCGUAAAGGGUGCGUAGGCGGUUUGAUAAGUCUGAUGUGAAAUCCUAUGGCUCAACCAUAGAACUGCAUUGGAAACUGUCAGACUAGAAUACAGAAGGGGCAGAUGGAAUUAGUGGUGUAGGGGUAAAAUCCGUAGAUAUCACUAGGAAUACCGAAAGCGAAAGCGAUCUGCUGGGAAGUUAUUGACGCUGAGGCACGAAAGCGUGGGGAGCAAACGGGAUUAGAAACCCUAGUAGUCC